AACGAUGCAACCCACACCCUUUUCCUCUUUCUCCCCUUAACCUCUCUCCCACCUCCUUCUCUUCUUCCUCCACUUUCUUCCUCAAACCAACUUCCAUCGUUGUCUCCAUCACCACUGUCGCAGCCUUCGACUUCUUCUCUCUCUUCGUCGUAGCCGCCUCGCCAUUUCUUUUGACGAGCUCCAUCGCCUCCUCACUGCAAAAGAACCCGACAUCUUCUGAUCGCCCUCGCCAGCGAUGGCGCCCAGAAACGAGGUGUGUCAAUGUAUCGCUGUCGAUGACUUGAAAGCCAUUAAUGAUCUGCGGCUAAAACAUAGACACCUUAAACGCUUUUACCCACUCCAGAUUUAUUUUAGAAGAGAGAGCAAAGAUAACUUCAAUCAUAUCUUUGUAUCAAUUGCAGAAGUUUAAGACACACUUUAAUGGGAUCUUUCCUUUGAGAUUUUCCCCCCUCCCUCUUAACCCAGUGUAGACAAUUCAAAUUCAAUGAAUUUCUUGGACUUGCAUUGGUAACUACUUUGGGACUUGAUACAAAGUGUCUGAAUUGAAUUUUAAGGUUGUUUAUUUUAUUGUUUGAGAUUGAAGUCUCAGGUCUAUUUUCUUUAAUGCGGGUUAAAUCGAACCAUCUUGCUAAUUAAUUGAAGUCGAAUCCUGGUCGAGUCAGGUUUGUUUAUUUUACCAUUUGUCAAAUUAAAUUUUGCUGCUUAGUCGAGGUUGAAGCCUUGUUAGACCAUGUCUAUUUUCUUUAAUGUUGGUUAAAUCGAACUAGCUUGCGCCUAAUUAACUGAGGUCGAAGCCUGGUCGAGUCAAGUCUGUUUAGUUUACUGUUUGUCAAAUUAAACCUUGUUGCUUAGUUGAGGUUGAAGCCUUGUUAGGCCAUGUCCAUUUUCUUUAAUGAGGGUUAAAUCGAAUCAACUUGCUAAUUAGUUGAAGUCGAAGCUUGGUCGAGUCAGGUUCGUUUAUUUUAGGAUUUGUCAAAUUGAACACAAUUCAAGAUUGAAGUUUAAUGCUUGGUCAAGUCUGGUCCUUUUACUUUUCAUGUCGGUUAAAUCGAACACAAUUCAAAAUUGUGGUUUGAAGCCUAUUUAAGUCAAAUCCGUUUACUUGGUUAAAUAAACAUAAUUCAAGAUUGGUAUUUGAACCUAUUUAAGUCAGGUCUAUUAAUUUUUCUUACUACUUAAAUCAAACACAAUUCAAGAUUGGAGUUUGAUGCUUAGUCAAGUCAAGUCCAUUUACUUUUCUUGUUGUUUAUAUCCAACACAUUGGUGUUCGAAGAAAAAACAACCUUUUUAUUAAGUCAGUUCCAUUACUUUUUCAAAAUAAACUUCACCUCCCGAAUACCAUGUCUUCUACCUUUGUCAACUCUUUCAAUCCUUCAAGUAUACACAAAAGGGGCAAACUGUUGACACAAUAUUUGCUCCAACUCGAUUCUAUUUAUUUUCGAUAACUUCAGAUUUUUUAAAAGGUUCUAAAAAAAAGUAAAAUAUAUUUUUCUUGAUUUUUUUUAAAGAUUAAAAUAUUGAAAAAUUUUCCCCUUUUCCAGUCUUCCUUCUUUCCCGUUUCUCUCCUUUCAUUCCUCUUCUUUCCCUCAUUUUCUCACUUCCCCUUUCUUCACUCUCCAAUUUUCUCACACUUUAUACUCACUUUUGAGCUAAUUUUAGGCCACUUUUAUCACUAUAAAUAUAGAAAGUGAGGACAUAAUAUGGAAACAAAAAAAGAACACUUGAAAAAGAGAUUUAGGUGAAGAGAAGGGGAUUGACUAUUGAGAAAAAAAAAAAAAAAAAUACACAGGGGAGGAAACAUAGUGAGGAAUAAGUGAAAAAGAGAGACUUCGGCGAGCCUUCCAUCAACAA